rnacentral:miRNA from 1 species
CCCAGUGUGCCGACUGCCUGUGC